UGAAAUUGAUAUAUGAAUUUUUAUAAUAAUGGGAACUAGAAAAGAUUAACAAAUUAUAAAUAAAUAAAAAAAACCAUUAAAGCAAGUAGUCCGGGGGAAAUUUCAUGAAAAAAACUGUUCAUUUAAGUUACUACCCAUGACAGGGACCAUUCUUGUGUGAAAUGAUGUCUAUGUGUAAAUGAGUUUGCACCUGAAUUAUGAUACAAUCAUGCGUUCAGUCACCCUCAACUAACAAGCAGUAUAUACACAACUUAAGCAAUACAUGAUGUAUGAAAAAUUACAAAGUGAUGGUAGGAUAAAACAAAUAUUUCAUUAAAAUACAUCUGCACUAUAUGAGAAGAUAGCAUGAAAGCCAUGGCUAAAGUAACAAAUAUUUGAAAUUGUAGACAAAUUGGCAGUGUUUAUAAAUCAAAGUUGGAAUGGUACAUUUUUUUAAAGAGGUUCAAUGUACAAGCUAAUCACAUUUGGUUGAUUACUUUUAAUGCAUUUCCAUUUCUAUGAAAGUCAGAAAGAGAAUUAAGUAUAUCUUUCACUUAAAAAAAUCAUUACUUUCUGACAAUUCGUCAACUUUUUCUCAAUACUCCGCUUUAAUGCAUAUUCUCAAACAAGUUAAGUUCUUCCAAGAUUUCUAUUCCUCUUUAAUGCAUAUAUUCAUUAAUUUCAAUGUUGGCGGUGUUUCGACACGAAUUGCCAUUGGCUCAGUGAAUUAGUUUAUCUACUCACAACAUUUUGUGAAAGAAUUUCUUGGAAGGUCCUGAAUAGCACAAGUAAAUUGAAAGAUUAAAAUACAUUUUCCAUUAUUAACAUUGGGUCACCCUCACGGCUUACUGAUGUCAUACGAUCAAUCACAUAUUUUGUUGCAAGCAAAAAAUAAAAAAUGAAAAUUGGCAUCAAUGAAUCACACAAUCACAUUACUGAGAACUGCAUAAAAUUGUACAAUGCUACACAGCUAUUAAACCAUAUUGAGAAAAUGAAAGAAGAAAAUAUACAUGUGAGGAAUAUAUGUAUAAUAUAUAUAUUUGUUGGACUAGAAUUUAGAAAACAAUCCAGGUAUAUAAACCUUUCCACAUCUAAUACAUGUAAAUAAAAAAAUGCAUAUGCAUUUUCCUUAUCCCCCCCCACCACCACCUCUCUCUCUCUCUCUCCCUCUAAUGGCAUUACUCUAUCUUUUUUUGCUUUAAAGAAUAUCUGAGAUUCCUCGAACCUAAACAGGAAGAAAAUUGAAGAAGCAUAUGAGCCAAUGUGUUUGGAGUUUAAAAAGAAAAUUAAAAAAAAUGAAAAUAACAUAAAUAAAAAGAGAUUUUGAUACAAGUGACAUUUCCAAGGUUAUAAUAAUAUGCUUCCUUGAUAAUUUUGGUUCACAUAUACAUUUACCACAAAAACAAUUGCUCUUCUUUAUUACAAAAAAAACAAAGAAGGGGAAAUAACAUAGCAAAGGCUGGACAAAAUGCCCAUACAUAUCUAUCAUCAGUUUGUAGCAACUGCCUGUACAUAGUUUGAUUAUUUUAUACAAAAGAACAGUAAUAUACUGUACCGCAUCCUGUACUUGACUUUACAAUUUCUUGUUUUGAUCUCAAAGUUUAUAACAACCAUUAUUAUUUUUUAAAAAACUACAGAUGACAAACCACGCACCUCUGAGAAAAUGCAUUACAAACAAGGAAUUAUUACACAACACACAGGAAAAGGGAUAUAAAGUGUAAGGGAAUUUACAAAGUAGUCAAAUCAAUUCAACAGUUUAGGGCAAUUCCAUAAAAUGAUCAACCUUUAUGUAUGUGCGACCCCCAUUUUUCUCAAGUCAGACUUCACUUCAUAAACUGACCAAGUCAUGGUCCUUUGAGAACAUUGCAGACUGCCAAUGGAACCAGAAAUCAGGGACAGAUAUACACUUAAUGGGUGGGACAUACAUAUUUUAUGGAAUUGCCCAAUAGACACUGUAUGGUGGAAACUGUGUUU
rnacentral:lncRNA from 1 species